rnacentral:rRNA from 1 species
AGAGUUUGAUCCUGGCUCAGAAUGAACGCUAGCGAUAGGCCUAACACAUGCAAGUCGAACGCAUACUUUAUAGUAUGAGUGGCAAACGGGUGAGUAACGCGUGAGAGAUCUACCUUACAGCCCGGUAUAAUGAAGGUAUAAAAGAUUUUUUAUACAAUAAGAAUUCCGGAUAAAACAUAAAGGCAAAGAACCGUUGUAAGAUGAGCUCGCGUAGGAUUAGGUAGUUGGUAAGGUAAAAGCUUAUCCAAGCCGAUGAUCCUUAGUUGGUCUGAGAGGAUGAUCAGCCACACUGGGACUGAGACACGGCCCAGACGCUUCCGAGCGGCAGCAGUGAGGAAUUUUGGACAAUGGGCGAAAGCCUGAUCCAGCUAUAUCGCAUGAAUGAAGAAGGCUCAAUUGGUUGUAAAAUUCAUAUUUUCAAACAAGAUUGUGACAUAAAUGAAAAGAAUAGUCCCGGCCAACUCCGUGCCAGCAGCCGCGGUAAUACGGGGGGGGCAAGCGUUAUUCGAAAUGAUUGGGCGUAAAGAGCACGUAGACGGUUUUUAUAGUAGACAUAGUGGCAAUAUUUUUGUAUAUUUGCAUACUUUUGAUGGAGUAUCUUAUCGUGAAUCUUAUACUUCUAUACAUCUUUGACAUUUCAAAAAAAUGUUAUGGAUGUAUAAAAGUGUUAGGAGAUCUUUGAAUACUCGGGAAAAAGACCAAGGCUCAACCAUGGUGUUUCCCUCUAAACUAAAAAACUAGAGUAAGUAUGAGGAAAGUGGAAUUCCUGGAGGAAAGGUUAAAUUUUAUGAGAUCAGGAGGAAUGCCGAAAGCGUAGGCAACUUUCUACUGCUUCACUGACGUUGAGGUGCGAAAGCAUGGGGAUCAAAGGGGAUUAGAUACCCCCGUAGUCCAUGCCGUCAACUAUGAGAAUUCACUCUUAGAAGAAGAAAGAAUCCCUUCUAAUUACGAAAAAUGAAUAAAGACACAUCUGACAUCUCACACUUCCGAAGGAAGUGUUAAAAGCGAUGUCUUUUUUUGUCUCACAUUUUUUAUAUGAAAAUUGGAUUCUUUUCUCCACUUUUAGGGGGUCCUAGCUAACGCGUUAAAUUCUCCGCCUGAGGAGUACGACCGCAA